GAUGAACGCUGGCGGUGUGCCUAAUACAUGCAAGUCGAGCGAACAGACGAGGAGCUUGCUCCUCUGACGUUAGCGGCGGACGGGUGAGUAACACGUGGAUAACCUACCUAUGAGACUGGGAUAACUUCGGGAAACCGGAGCUAAUACCGGAUAAUAUAUUGAACCGCAUGGUUCAAUAGUGAAAGACGGUUUUGCUGUCACUUAUAGAUGGAUCCGCGCCGCAUUAGCUAGUUGGUAAGGUAACGGCUUACCAAGGCAACGAUGCGUAGCCGACCUGAGAGGGUGAUCGGCCACCCUGGAACUGAGACACGGUCCAGACUCCUACGGGAGGCAGCAGUAGGGAAUCUUCCGCAAUGGGCGAAAGCCUGACGGAGCAACGCCGCGUGAGUGAUGAAGGUCUUCGGAUCGUAAAACUCUGUUAUUAGGGAAGAACAAAUGUGUAAGUAACUAUGCACGUCUUGACGGUACCUAAUCAGAAAGCCACGGCUAACUACGUG
rnacentral:rRNA from 1 species